UCCGAGUUGACCCCGGCAGUCUCUCACGAGUCCCCACCAUUACGUGCUGGCAACAUGAGACAAGGGUUGCGCUCGUUGCGGGACUUAACCCAACAUCUCACGACACGAGCUGACGACAGCCAUGCACCACCUGCACACAGGCCACAAGGGAAUACCUAUCUCUAGGCACGUCCUGUGCAUGUCAAACCCAGGUAAGGUUCUUCGCGUUGCAUCGAAUUAAUCCACAUGCUCCGCCGCUUGUGCGGGCCCCCGUCAAUUUCUUUGAGUUUUAGCCUUGCGGCCGUACUCCCCAGGCGGGGUACUUAAUGCGUUAGCUACGGCACGGAUCCCAAGGAAGGAAACCCACACCUAGUACCCACCGUUUACGGCGUGGACUAC
rnacentral:misc_RNA from 1 species